rnacentral:rRNA from 1 species
CCUACGGGAGGCUGCAGUGGGGAAUAUUGGACAAUGGGGGGAACCCUGAUCCAGCCAUGCCGCGUGUGUGAAGAAGGCCCUCGGGUUGUAAAGCACUUUCAGUGAGGAAGAACGCCUGGUGGUUAAUACCCAUCAGGAAAGACAUCACUCACAGAAGAAGCACCGGCUAACUCCGUGCCAGCAGCCGCGGUAAUACGGAGGGUGCGAGCGUUAAUCGGAAUUACUGGGCGUAAAGCGCGCGUAGGUGGCUUGAUAAGCCGGUUGUGAAAGCCCCGGGCUCAACCUGGGAACGGCAUCCGGAACUGUCAAGCUAGAGUGCAGGAGAGGAAGGUAGAAUUCCCGGUGUAGCGGUGAAAUGCGUAGAGAUCGGGAGGAAUACCAGUGGCGAAGGCGGCCUUCUGGACUGACACUGACACUGAGGUGCGAAAGCGUGGGUAGCAAACAGGAUUAGAUACCCGGGGAGUC